rnacentral:rRNA from 1 species
GCUCCAAUAGCGUAUAUUAAUGUUGCUGCAGUUAAAAAGCUCGUAGUUGGAUUUCGGGCCGGGGGUAUUGGUUGUCGUGUGUCGCAAGAUGCAUGUUUUGCAGCUGUUCUCCGGUCUUAUUCGGGAUUAUUUAUCUUCGUGUUGUCUGGCAUUUAGUUGUUGGAUGGCAUGGGGCCGUCAUUUACUGUGAACAAUUAGAG